rnacentral:misc_RNA from 1 species
GGACUACGAGGGUAUCUAAUCCUGUUCGCUCCCCACGCUUUCGCUCCUCAGCGUCAGUAACGGCCCAGAGACCCGCCUUCGCCACCGGUGUUCCUCCUGAUAUCUGCGCAUUCCACCGCUACACCAGGAAUUCCAGUCUCCCCUGCCGCACUCCAGCGAUGCCCGUACCGGAAGCCAACCCGCCGUUAAGCAGCGGGCUUUCACUCCCGACGCGACACGCCGCCUACGAGCCCUUUACGCCCAAUAAAUCCGGACAACGCUCGCACCCUACGUAUUACCGCGGCUGCUGACAC